rnacentral:rRNA from 1 species
UGACUGACUGAGGCUACCUUGUUACGACUUCACCCCAGUUACCGGCUCCACCUUCGACAGCUCCCUCCUAAUCGGUUGGGUCACUGGCUUCGGGCAUUUCCGACUCCCAUGGNGUGACGGGCGGNGUGUACANGACCCGGGAACGUAUUCACCGCGACAUUCUGAUUCNCGAUUACUAGCGAUUCCAGCUUCGUGUANUCGGGUUGCAGACUACAGUCCGAACUGGGACGGCCUUUUUGUGGUUCGCUCCCCCUCGCNGGUUCGCCUCACUUUGUAACCGCCAUUGUANCACGUGUGUCGCCCAGAUCAUAANGGGCAUGAUGAUUUGACGUCGUCCCNANCUUCCUCCAGGUUAUCCCUGGCAGUCUCUCCAGAGUGNCCGGCCAAUNCGCUGGCUACUGAAGAUAGGGGUUGCGCUCGUUGCUGGACUACCCAACAUC